AAAGGAAGGUUCCACCCCAGCCCCUUACACCCAACCAUAUCCUUUAAAUUGUGGGAAGGUAAGUCUUGCCCUCUCUAGGUGCUGACAGAGUCCUGGUCAGGUAUCCCUUGACAGCUGGUGACCUGGGCGAGGAAAGGGGACCCCAAUCAUAGAAGUCCUAUUCUGCACCACUGUGCUGAGCACUUCACAUAUUGAAGGAUAUUUGAUUCUUAAUUCUAAAUACGAGCUACUCUUAUGAGUACUUCUCCCUGGUACUAUCAUAAGAGAUUUACAUAUGUUCUAAUAUUGAAAGCUCACAAGAGACCCCGAGACAGGGAGGUACACUUACAUUUACUAUUCUCAUUUUACAGAUGGAAAAAUUAAGACUUCAUGAGGUUAAGUAACUUACCAAGGUCACACAGCCAGUAAGUUAGGGGUUCAAACCCACAAGACCUUAUGGCCCUAGGUAUUACUCUCUCCAUAUUCCAUAUUUGGUUGAGGAGCAGGUCCAGAGAGGUUAAUAAACUUGCCCAAAGGCAUGCAUCAAGGAAUGGCAGAGCCAGAGGGCUAUGUGACCUAAAAACUAUUGCCCCUCUGUUUUGGGAUAGUCCCCCCCACACACACUCCUGCCCUUGGCCUUGACCACCGCAUACAGAUCGUUUCUACCCUCUUCACCUCCAACUUCAUUGGCAUCUGCUUCAGCCGCUCCCUCCACUACCAGUUCUACGUCUGGUAUUUCCACACACUGCCCUACCUCCUGUGGGCCAUGCCUGCACGCUGGCUCACACACCUGCUCAGGUUGUUGGUGCUGGGGCUCAUCGAGCUCUCCUGGAACACAUACCCUUCCACAUCCUGCAGCUCUGCUGCCCUGCACAUAUGCCAUGCCGUCAUCCUGCUGCAGCUCUGGCUGGGCCCGCAGCCUUUCCCCAAGAGCACCCAACACAGCAAGAAAGCCCACUGAAGUCCACCCCUUUCCCUCAGGACCUGAGUCUACCCUCAGGACCUGGGGUUGGUUG
rnacentral:lncRNA from 1 species